rnacentral:sRNA from 1 species
ACUGGGUUUGGUGACCCACGCCUGUAAUCCCAGAGGCUUGGGAAUCUGAAGCAGGAGGAUGGUGAAUUCAGAGCCAGCCUGAGCAAUUUCCAGGCUCUAAACAACUCAGCAAGAUCCUGUUUCUA